GACGAACGCUGGCGGCGUGCUUAACACAUGCAAGUCGAACGGAAAGGCCCUGCUUUUGUGGGGUGCUCGAGUGGCGAACGGGUGAGUAACACGUGAGUAACCUGCCCUUGACUUUGGGAUAACUUCAGGAAACUGGGGCUAAUACCGGAUAGGAGCUCCUGCUGCAUGUUGGGGGUUGGAAAGUUUCGGCGGUUGGGGAUGGACUCGCGGCUUAUCAGCUUGUUGGUGGGGUAGUGGCUUACCAAGGCUUUGACGGGUAGCCGGCCUGAGAGGGUGACCGGGCACAUUGGGACUGAGGUACGGCCCAGACUCCUACGGGAGGCAGCAGUGGGGAAUAUUGCACAAUGGGCGGAAGCCUGAUGCAGCAACGCCGCGUGCGUGAUGACGGCCUUCGGGUUGUAAACCGCUUUCGCCUGUGACGAAGCGUGAGUGACGGUAAUGGGUAAAGAAGCACCGGCUAACUACGUG
rnacentral:rRNA from 1 species